rnacentral:rRNA from 1 species
UGGCGGCGUGCCUAAUACAUGCAAGUCGAGCGAACAGACAAGGAGCUUGCUCCUCUGACGUUAGCGGCGGACGGGUGAGUAACACGUGGAUAACCUACCUAUAAGACUGGGAUAACUUCGGGAAACCGGAGCUAAUACCGGAUAAUAUAUUGAACCGCAUGGUUCAAUAGUGAAAGACGGUUUUGCUGUCACUUAUAGAUGGAUCCGCGCCGCAUUAGCUAGUUGGUAAGGUAACGGCUUACCAAGGCAACGAUGCGUAGCCGACCUGAGAGGGUGAUCGGCCACACUGGAACUGAGACACGGUCCAGACUCCUACGGGAGGCAGCAGUAGGGAAUCUUCCGCAAUGGGCGAAAGCUUGACGGAGCAACGCCGCGUGAGUGAUGAAGGUCUUCGGGUCGUAAAACUCUGUUAUUAGGGAAGAACAAAUGUGUAAGUAACUAUGCACGUCUUGACGGUACCUAAUCAGAAAGCCACGGCUAACUACGUGCCAGCAGCCGCGGUAAUACGUAGGUGGCAAGCGUUAUCCGGAAUUAUUGGGCGUAAAGCGCGCGUAGGCGGUUUCUUAAGUCUGAUGUGAAAGCCCACGGCUCAACCGUGGAGGGUCAUUGGAAACUGGAAAACUUGAGUGCAGAAGAGGAAAGUGGAAUUCCAUGUGUAGCGGUGAAAUGCGCAGAGAUAUGGAGGAACACCAGUGGCGAAGGCGACUUUCUGGUCUGUAACUGACGCUGAUGUGCGAAAG